UACGUAGGGGGCAAGCGUUGUCCGGAAUCAUUGGGCGUAAAGAGCGUGUAGGCGGCCAGAUAAGUCCGCUGUGAAAUCUCGAGGCUCAACUUCGAGCUGUCGGUGGAAACUGUCUGGCUAGAGUCCGGAAGAGGAGAAUGGAAUUCCUGGUGUAGCGGUGAAAUGCGCAGAUAUCAGGAGGAACACCGGUGGCGAAGGCGGCUUGCUGGGCCAGUUCUGACGCUGAGGAGCGAAAGCGUGGGGAGCGAACAGG
rnacentral:rRNA from 1 species